UACGAAGGGGGCUAGCGUUGCUCGGAAUCACUGGGCGUAAAGCGCACGUAGGCGGAUCUUUAAGUCAGGGGUGAAAUCCUGGAGCUCAACUCCAGAACUGCCUCUGAUACUGGGGAUCUUGAGUCCGGAAGAGGUAAGUGGAACUGCGAGUGUAGAGGUGAAAUUCGUAGAUAUUCGCAAGAACACCAGUGGCGAAGGCGGCUUACUGGUCCGGUACUGACGCUGAGGUGCGGAAAGCGUGGGGAGCAAACAGGG
rnacentral:rRNA from 1 species